GUCGCAAGACCAAAGUGGGGGACCUUCGGGCCUCAUGCCAUCAGAUGUGCCCAGAUGGGAUUAGCUAGUAGGUGGGGUAACGGCUCACCUAGGCGACGAUCCCUAGCUGGUCUGAGAGGAUGACCAGCCACACUGGAACUGAGACACGGUCCAGACUCCUACGGGAGGCAGCAGUGGGGAAUAUUGCACAAUGGGCGCAAGCCUGAUGCAGCCAUGCCGCGUGUGUGAAGAAGGCCUUCGGGUUGUAAAGCACUUUCAGCGGGGAGGAAGGCGACAAGGUUAAUAACCUUGUCGAUUGACGUUACCCGCAGAAGAAGCACCGGCUAACUCCGUGCCAGCAGCCGCGGUAAUACGGAGGGUGCAAGCGUUAAUCGGAAUUACUGGGCGUAAAGCGCACGCAGGCGGUCUGUCAAGUCGGAUGUGAAAUCC
rnacentral:rRNA from 1 species